AUUUGACUCAACGCGGGAAAUCUUACCGGGUCCGGACACACUGAGGAUUGACAGGUAUUAUAUAGCACGCACUUCGGUGUGUGUCUAUUGUUAAAUAUGCUAGUCCUUUCAUGAUUAUGUGAUAGGUGGUGCAUGGCCGUUCUUAGUUCGUGGAGUGAUCUGUCUGCUUAAUUGCGUUUCAAUAAGGAUCUAUAUUCUUUACGUG
rnacentral:rRNA from 1 species